UCAUGUUACAUGUUACAGUUCUGGGCUUGUAAUCUCUGUGCAUGCACUUUUACCUCAGAGCCAGAAAAAGUGAAAGUAACUGCGAAGAGGACAACCGAAUUCACUUGAAACCGGUUUGACUGGAGGGGCCAAAGGCUGCAUGCCAUGUGUGGGGGUGUGAGGCAGACACGCGCACACAAAAUUGCAACAGAUACAUGCCUUCUCUCCCUUAUUAAAAAAUAUGCUUACUCACACGUCCACAACGAUGUUCACAUCGUGUGUGAACUCAACCUCUUCGCCUGAGCAUGAAAUUAUUUUGAGGGUUUGGAUUUAGGCAAAACUCCAACCUCUAGAGGUGUCUUUUCCAGGGAGUGAGAUGGGAACUUUUACUGUCCGAGCAGAACACAGCUGGAACAAGACAACAUUCAUAUGUGUGAGUAUAUGGUAAAUAAUACUCGUAUUGGCGGAUUCUCCAUGGUCUCUACACAUUGUCACUACAAAGGAGCCAUGACAGAACAGAAUAUGGACAGAACGCGUUGUCUGUUACAUAAUGCUAUGACACACUCAAUUACGGUAAACAAUUGGCCACUGAGACCAAGAAGAGAGACGACAGGACAGUCAUCCCUGGAAUGAAGCAGAUGUUUGGGUGCACUCUGAGAAAAGACACACAGGUUUACAAGCACAGGCUCCCAGAGGCAGGAAAUAAAUUAAUUAAAAGAGCUGAA